GGAAUAUUGGACAAUGGGAGCAAUCCUGAUCCAGCCAUGCCGCGUGCAGGAAGACUGCCCUAUGGGUUGUAAACUGCUUUUAUACAGGCAGAAACAGGUGUACGAUUACACUGUUGACGGUACUGUAAGAAUAAGGAUCGGCUAACUCCGUGCCAGCAGCCGCGGUAAUACGGAGGAUUCAAGCGUUAUCCGGAAUCAUUGGGUUUAAAGGGUCCGUAGGCGGGAUAAUAAGUCAGUGGUGAAAGUCUGCAGCUCAACUGUAGAAUUGCCAUUGAUACUGUUGUUCUUGAGUUAUUGUGAAGUGGUUAGAAUGAGUAGUGUAGCGGUGAAAUGCAUAGAUAUUACUCAGAAUACCGAUUGCGAAGGCAGAUCACUAACAAUACACUGACGCUGAUGGACGAAAGCGUAGGUAGCGA
rnacentral:rRNA from 1 species